UUUAAAUUAAAUUAACAGCAAAUUCAUUAUAUUUUGUAAAACGAUGAUUUAUAGUGUAUUUAAUAUUAGAAUCUUUAACUUCUGAUUUUCCAACCACUUUUAGCAAAUUCAUCCGUGUUAAACUCAUAUUUUUCAUUAUUGUGUGUAAUCAGUAAAGAUAAAAUAAAAUGAAUAUAAUAACUAAAUAUAUAUUCACUUUAAUAAUGGCCUGUUGUUCAUUUUAGAGCAAGAGUCUCCUUGUGCUGAACGGUUUAACAGCACCUCCACAUCACCUGCAUCAGAGUGUGUUUUCUGCUGGAAUCUGCUGUUCAGUGUGUGUUCGGUGUGUGUUCUCCUCUUCUCCAUCUGCGUCUACUGCCUCUGUCAGAAGAAAACUACAGGUUCUGGAGCUGAGAACAGACAUGUUGAGGCUGGUGAUGAAGUGUGUUAUGCUUCAUUAGACAUGCCUUCCACACAGCAACAAAGGCAGAGGAAUGAAAAAGGCUCAGAGUUCAGACUUCAGUAUUUAUUCUGAUGUCAGAACCAGCAGAAUGUAAAGUAGAGUAAACUAAAGUCAUUGUUCUUUAGUAGAAAUAUGAUUCAAAAGAGUGUUAAUGACAAUGUUCUGGCAUCUGCAUCCUAUUUUCAUUGAUUCUAAUAUUGUAAGUUUUUAAUGAU